UCCUCUCUUUCUCUCUCAUCCCUCCUCCUUUCCUCUCCUCUUUUACCUCCUACCACCACCACCAACAACAACACCAUAAAGACCAAGCAACAACAACGAAGACGACUACAACAACACCGGCGACCACAACAAGAAAGACAACUAGAACGGCGACGACAACAAGAACGGCGACCACGGUCAAUGAAUCUGGAGACUCAAUCAUCAUUAUCGCAAUUAGAUUCUAAUAAUAAUAGUAAUGAGUUUGUAGGGUCGACCUCUCAACAACCUAAGAAAAGAAAAGGUCCCUUUCGUGGUCCAAGUAGAGCACUCAAGUAUAAAAAGUUGCGAAGCAUUCAACCUAGAAAGCUCAAGGUUAAUAUUCCUUUAGCAUUAGGAGCUGUUGUGGGUGAGCGUGCAAAUCAAUUUGUUGCUGAGUGUGCUUAUUGGUUUAAGGAGAUUUGCCCCCUUGAUGUUCCUAAAUGGAGUGAUAUGCCUGAAGGGAUUUCAGAUCGAUUAUAAGCAAGGAUUAAGUCAAAGUAUGAAUUGGGUGAAGGUGCACACAUUUGCAAAGCAAUAAAGAUUCAAUGCUCCACCCUUUAUAGGCAUUGGAGAGAAAGGUUGAAGGCUGAAUAUUUUUCAAAUAGAAAAUAUUUAUUAGAGGCGGAGCGUGCUUUCCCACCUUCAAUAAAUCUUGACCAAUGGAAGUGGCUUGUUUAUAACUAUUGGAGCUCUCUUAAGCAGAAGGAAUGGAGUGAGAAGAAUCAGGCUAAUGCUCUUGCAAAGAAGAUCAAGUCGGCAUGUGGUGCGAAAUCAACAGCUCGCAUAAUUUAUGAAUUGGAACUUGAGGCACAAGCUUGUGAAAAAUGAGAAUGAGGUCACUGAAAUCAAUGGUUCUAGCUCAAAUGUAACCACCUCAUCCCAAGCUAAUGAUGAUCCCAUGUAUUUAGUUAUGGGAGAAGUCAAAGAGGCAUAAAAAUGGGAAGUUUGACGAUGAGGCCGAGGAGAAGUUCAAGGAAUUAAGGGAGUUGCAUGAGAAAAAGAUUGGUGAAAAGGGGGUUGAUAAUCUUACUCUUGAAGAAGCUUAUGUGAAGGUUCUUGGACAUUGUUCAAGUUAUGCCCGAGGUUUAGGCAAAGGGCACCCGGUGUCGUCUAAAGACGGAAAGAUAGGAAGAGCUGAGCUGGAACAAAAUGUUGAAAAACUACAAAAUGAAAAUAAUAUGAUGCGAUCUGAAUUGAAAGCGUCUAAGAAGAAACAAGAAGACCUAGAACAAAAGUUUUGGUUAGUCAUGGAGAAGAUUGGCCUUGAUGCUUAAUAGAGCCAAUUCCAUCUGUUAGCAUUAGAACAGUAUGAAUUCGGCUAGAGACAUCAUGAAAUUUAGCUACAAAAUUGAAAUAUUAUCACCCGCCGACAAGUGAAAGAGAUCACCCAAGAAAGCCUUAAGACCUUGUUAUGGGACAUUUUGUACAACUAUUGACCGACGUUGACAUUCAAGACCAAGAUAUACAAGACCGAGUCAAGAUUGUUAUGGAUGCUAUCUAAAGUCAUGGAGAGGAUAUUUACCACUAAGAACAAGUCCAUUGAAGUUGUUACACGUAUGUGUACUCCAAGUCGUCUACAUUCACCGGAAGACCAAGUAAAGAGUGAAUAACCACUAUCUCCUAUUUUCAUGGAGGGCAUCCUCAUCCUUCUCCAACCGUUUAUUAGCUACUGCUUGAAGUUUUAUAAAUAGGGAAAAACCUCCUCUUGUGAAGAGAUCGACAGAUCCCACGUAUAAGCUCCCUCUCGACAUACAUUAUAUACUAUUCUUGCCAUCCAAUGUCUAAGCUCCACCCACUUAAAUCUUCCCCUAAGAGUUUCUAACCAAACUACUAUAUUUUAAUCAUAAAUAAGAAGCCAAGCUUACCCUCUAGUCCUCUACAAACAUUACCGUAGCCAUCCAUAUCCUUAUUCUACUAGGAGUAAAACUACUAUAGUUUAUUCCACCACAAAUGCUACUACAAUUCUACUAUAUUUUAGUCUGCUUUACACCAUUACAAAGAUAACUCCUACACACAAUGCUCCACCAAAUUAAUACCUCUUCCAUAUGUACUACUGUGCAAUGAAUGUCGUGCUCUCCAUUCACUUGUAUUUAUCUACACUGUAUUUUAUAUGCAUCGAAUACAUCUUGUAAUUGUAAUAAUCGGCUUUAUGCCCAUAUUAUAGUGGAUUGGUGGCCUCAUUGCCACCUGCGGUUUUUACCCACCUUCAUUGGGUUUUUCCACGUCACCAUAUUGUGUCUCCCCUCUCUUUCUUUAUUUUUUCGUCAUUUAUUUUCCGCAUCCAACAUUCCUUAUUUUAAUUUAGUUGAUCCGUAGCCCGUAUCCCACAUCAAAUCCUACUUGACAAAAUUUAGCAUAAACAAUUUGGCGCCCACCGUAGGGCUACAACUAGAUUGAAAUAUCAACCCUACAAAAGUUCCUUUCCAAACACAUUCAAACACAUUCCCAUCAUCAAGCUAUAUCUAUAUCCAUUUA